UGAUCGGUUCUCAGCCUUCCCCAGUGCUCACAAUCUCAAGCCUACCCUCUUCUCUGGCUAAAGCCACGUCUUGUCCCUAUCUCCAGUGUGCUACAUUUUCACAUGUAUCAGGACAUUCACCAAUUUGUGAGGCUGGGCUCUAUGGUUUUCAUCAUCCUCAGCCAACCUCAGUGCUUCCUGAAACUGGGAAACAUCUCAAAUAGGUGGUGUUCAUCUCUGCAAUCAGAUGUUUCCCAUGGCCUGUGAUUCCCCCACACUAAAUGGAGUGUGGAGGGUUUGACUAGCUUUCCCAUCUGAUGCUUGAACUUAAAGUGUGGAAGUGUGAGAGAAGAUGGCAAGAGAACCGGAAGAUGUUGCAGAUUUUCACCAAGAGAUUACGGUCAAACUGGAUGUAAACAACACGGUAUACCCAUCAACCAUCAGCAGAGAUGGCAAGAGAGGACACAGGCUCUGCAAGUUAAGGUCAUCUUAUUGCUCGGCUGAAGAAGCCACGUUCCACCCAGUUUCCUAGCGUGGUCCAGACUGUGUGCUUCUUCAGCAUCCGGACUUGUUUGAGUGGACCUUGAAUGCUUUCUCUCUUUCUCUCUCUCGCUUUUUUUUUGUUGUUCUACUUUGUUUCUGUUCCCUGUAAAUUCUCUGGAAGUUGUGCAAAU